rnacentral:rRNA from 1 species
UUGUUUGGAGAGUUUGAUUCUGGCUCAGGACGAACGCUGGCGGCGUGCUUAACACAUGCAAGUCGAACGGAAAGGCCCUUCGGGGUACUCGAGUGGCGAACGGG